rnacentral:rRNA from 1 species
CCUACGGGAGGCUGCAGUGGGGAAUAUUGCACAAUGGGGGAAACCCUGACCCAGCAACGCCGCGUGAAGGAAGAAGGCUUUCGGGUUGUAAACUUCUUUUAAGAGGGAAGAGCAGAAGACGGUACCUCUUGAAUCAGCCACGGCUAACUACGUGCCAGCAGCCGCGGUAAUACGUAGGUGGCAAGCGUUAUACGGAUUUAUUGGGUUUAAAGGGUGCGUAGGCGGUUUUUUAAGUUAGUGGUUAAACGUCGGGGCUUCACCUUGAUUUGCCAUUAAUACUGUAAGACUCGAGUUCAGACGAGGUAGGCGGAAUAAGUGAAGUAGCGGUGAAAUGCUUAGAUAUAACUUAGAACUCCGAUAGCGAAGGCAGCUUACCAGACUGCGACUGACGCUGAAGCACGAGAGCGUGGGUAGCGAACAGGAUUAGAUACCCUUGUAGUC